AAGUGUCCCGCGACUUACUAAAGAGAAUCUCAGGAGUCUUCCAGGAACUUUUUGGGAAUGAGGUGGCUCACGAGCGAGGGAGAAGCAGAAACUCCCAGGAACCUCUGUGGACUGGCCUUUAAGCCCGGCAACGGCGAAAACCUGGAUGGAGGAUCGCUGGGCCUGCGAGCGCGGAAAGUGAUGCCGCUUUUCCCAAACCUCCUUUCCGAGUCUUCGCCCGAGCCCCGGCUGAGCGCAAACUGAAAGUGGAAAGCGGCCGGGCUGCCUGCCGCCAGCGAGCCUCCUACCCGGGACGAGACUUUUUGGAUGCCUUCUGGUUUGAAGAAAUCUCCAGCUGCUCUGAUGAUAGUUUAAGAAGACUGCAUGCUGUUUCCUCUCGAUGCCAAGCCAGGCCCUCUCGGAACCUCGGAUCCCAGCCCUUCAUGGAGACCAGGUCCCAGCAGGAAUGGCAGUGGAAGACAUCCGCACCCAGAUGGCUCCUUCACGUGAAGUUGUCUUGGGCUGUGGGCCGACUCGAGAACACCUGGUAGCCAGGCCGGCCCUCUGUCAGUCACCCAGGGCCGGGCAGCAUGGUGUGGAUUCAGAGGAGGAAGCUUUUGGCAUCUUGCCUCUGCAUCACAGCCUCUGUCUUUCUGCUUGUCACACUCCAGGUAGUGGUUGAGCUGGGGAAACUUGAAAGGAAGAAGUUUAAAAAUUCUAACGGGCAAGAUGGACAUGCAACGAUGGAGGAGGAGCCUACACACCUCUAUCCACUCCCUGGGAAAGAAGCCCUGAACUGGAAAAACAAAUCAGAGACUGAUAACUACCCCAUCAUGCUCUGGUGGUCCCCACUGACUGGGGAAACUGGAAGGCUAGGCCAGUGCGGAGCGGAUGCGUGUUUCUUUACCAUCAACCGGACCUACCUACAUCAUCACAUGACCAAAGCAUUCCUCUUCUAUGGCACUGACUUUAACAUAGAUAGCUUACCUCUGCCUCGGAAGGCCCAUCACGACUGGGCCCUUUUUCACGAAGAGUCUCCGAAAAAUAAUUACAAGCUCUUUCACAAGCCAGUCAUCACCUUGUUCAACUACACUGCCACCUUCAGCCGACAUUCCCACUUGCCACUGACCACCCAGUACUUGGAGGGCGUAGAAGUCCUGAAGUCACUCAGAUACCUGGUCCCUUUGCGGUCCAAGAACAUCCUUCGAAGAAGACUUGCUCCACUGGUGUAUGUCCAGUCAGACUGUGACCCACCAUCAGACAGGGACAGCUAUGUUCGAGAACUGAUGACUCACGUUGAGGUGGAUUCCUACGGUGAGUGUUUACGAAACAAGGAUCUCCCUCCGCAGCUAAAAAAUCCAGCUUCCAUGGAUGCUGAUGGCUUUUAUAGGAUCAUUGCACAGUAUAAGUUUAUCCUUGCCUUCGAGAAUGCGGUGUGUGACGACUACAUCACUGAGAAGUUCUGGAGACCUCUGAAACUGGGGGUGGUCCCUGUGUAUUAUGGGUCCCCCAGCAUUGCUGACUGGCUCCCAAGUAAUAGAAGUGCUAUUCUCGUGUCUGAAUUUGCUCACCCUAGAGAACUGGCAAGUUACAUCAGACAACUGGAUCACGACGACAGACUGUACGAGGCCUACAUAGAAUGGAAGCUGAAGGGUGAGGUCUCAAAUCAGCGACUUCUCACAGCACUCAAGGAACGGAAGUGGGGAGUACAAGAUGUCCACCAGGACAACUACAUCGAUGCAUUUGAGUGCAUGGUGUGCAGCAAGGUGUGGGAUAAUAUCCGGCUUCAGGAGAAGGGCUUACCACCCAAAAGAUGGAAGGCAGAAGUUACCCACCUGAGCUGCCCGGAGCCCACAGUGUUUGCUUUCUCACCUCUGGCUCCACGUUGGAGCUCUUUGAGGGAGAUGUGGAUACCAAGCUUUGAACAGUCCAAGAAAGAAGCCCAGGCACUAAGGUGGCUUGUUGAUAGGAAUAAAAAUUUUUCAGCUCAAGAGUUUUGGGCCCUCGUGUUCAAGGACUAAUUUCUACCAGUAUCACAGCGAUAUAGACUAGGGGGUUCUCUUGAGCUUUAUUUUCUAGGUUGCCUUAACACUCGAAUACAGUCGCUACUUUGUUGACUGUCCUUCAGGAUAAGGAUUAAUUGCUGUAGUUCUCAUAAUGAGCCCUCUCAGCUAAUGGAUAUGAAUUACCCUUAGGGGUCACCUCUGUAUUUUUUAUACUAAAAAAAUGAAUAUGUCGUAUGGACACUGGUCACCUUCAGUUUCCACGUCUGGACGGAUGUACCUGCUGCCUUUUGUGGACGUCCAGCUAAUGCGGAGUGAGUGCUUUCCUCGCCGCAAGCGAGGCGGAGGGUGGAGCUGUGGAUUCUUGACACUCACCUCACUGUCUGCGGUUUAUUAGUAUUUGGCAAGCCCGGUGUCCUGAUGCUAAGCAUGAACAUGAAAUGCAUUAGAACUUGGCAAUGAGAGAUUCCAUCUGUUGGUUUCCAGGGAUAGGAGACAUUUCUUCUGUCAACCUUGGGUGAUUUCUGGCAAGAAUAAGAACUCUGACUUGGGGAUUAGCAAUGAAGACGGUGGGCCCACUGGGCAAGCAGGUCCACUCUGCCGAAACUGCAUCUGUUCACCAUGCUUUUGGCUCCAUCUGUUCGAUAUUCACCAAUGAAGUCAACUUUUCAUCUCUUUUUUCAUUAUAUGUGGAAGUGUACUUAGG